GAUAUUCAAAAUGAGCUCAUACAUUUUCUAGGUGACUGAGGCUGUUGUGGAAGAAAUGAGAAAGGCUUAUUACACUUUAAAGGUAGAUGGUACAGGCUGCUUAAAUAUAUCAGUUGUCAUUCAUUUGUGCUAUUGUAAGGGUUUUUUCUUGUGUACUGUUUGUUUUGUUAUUAGGACUUUUAUUUUGACACCCUGUUCUGUUCCGGCUUUUAUUUUGAAAUCAUGCCAUGUCACACUUCACAUUUCACUUUCUGUUUGUUUAGUAUAAAACCACUUCCUUUUGAUCAUAUCAGGGCUGAUUAUUGUUUAGCCUACCUGUUAACCUGUAUUCUGUUUCCUGUUCUGUGUCUGCCUGGUUUGACCUGUUGCCUGUUUAUUGGAUUCUGAUUGUUUGCUGCCUGCCUCGACUAUUGCCUGUUAUUUGGAUACUCUUUUGGAUUGCCCUUUUUGGAUGUGUUUGCCUGCCCGUGUGGAUUUUAUAAAUAAACCUCUUUUGCACAUGGAUUCUACUCUCCUUUGCUUUGUUUAAAGCAGCCCCUGUUACCAACGUUACAGCUAUGCCAUAUAGUUUGUAUUGGUUUAAAAUGAUUGUAAUGUGGAAAAAAUAAAAAUGAGUGAGUAUUACAAAAAUUUUUGACCGGAAGUGUAGGCCUUAAAUGACAGCUCACCAAAUGAAUUCCAUAUCUGCAAAACAAUUGUUUAUAAAACAUUAAUAACAUUGAUAUUGGAUUGAAUCGAAAUCAAAUCGGAUCGAAGCAAUAUAAAAAAGAAUCGAAAAAUAAGUUGCAAUGAUCAGCCCUUUUUGUGAGGGAUUUUUAUGCGUGUAAUGCAUACAAAUAUUGUAAAAAGCCUACAAUAGCUGCUACCAGGAUGAUCACAUCUUUUCUAACUGAAACUGAUCCACAAGCUAAAUAAAACUUUACAUAUUAUAGGAAAAUAGGUCUGUGAUAAAUGUCAGAAAGAAUAGAGAGUUAAACACAUUUUUAUGUCAUGCAGAAAAUUUACACAGAUGAUGACAAAACCUCCAAAAAAGUACAGGAAAUAUAGAGUAUAAUGUAAAUAGUAUAUUAAAAAGUAAGAACAGUCACCAGGCAAAAGAAAUGUUAGGAAGGAUGUUAAAGAAUGUUAAGCGAACAGAAGAUGGCAGUCGUUCAUCUAAGAAGAAAAGAAAGCCUACGUGACAAAAUCAGUUUCACGCCCACCUAAUUUUUACCAGAAAAGGAAGCCAUGCACUCAAAACAACAUAUGUGCACAAAAUAUCCACAUUAAAGACAAAACGUGAAUUUUUUUGCUGUUAACUUGACUGGAAAAUGGAAAUAAUACCUAAGUGAUCACAGAGCUAAAUCCAGAUAAUAUCCAAGACAGGUAGACAGCAGACAACUCUGGGUCAGAUUCGUGUCGAAGUCGACACCUCCAAGGCGGAUCCGGCCUGGAGUAGUCUACGAUCUUGGAUCUCACCAAUAGAGCAUCUGGAGAGACAGAGACCAUUAUACUUUCUCUUAUUACCAAUAUAACUGGAAUUUGGAAUCCAUUGGAAUUUUCAGGAAGGAGGGCAGGCCUGCGGAAAGGAAAUGGCACAAGUCUAAUAAUCUCAAAGACCUCAGGGACUACCAGUCAUUACUCUCCUCUUUUUUGGCUAGUGUUACCACGGCAAAAACAUCAUACUAUUCCACCCCGGAUCAUCUGGCCAAUGCGGAGUCCAAAUAUUUGGAUCUGAUUCUGCUAGACCUAUCUGCAGCCUUUGAUACAGUCAACCAUCAGAUCCAUCUAGCCACCCUAUUAUCACUACGGAUCACAGCAAUUGAUUCUGGUCUUCAAAUCUGACUGGAUGAGGAAGAAUUCAGGUGGGCUGAUAAUGUAUCUAAUCUGCACCGAGAAGCUUUUAUCUACUGUAUGACUCCACAACCUUUGAAAUAAUAUCAUGGCAAAGUCAUCAAUGUCUUCAGUUGGUGUGUCUCAGACACAGAAUGUUCCACAAACAACAUCCCCAAAGAAACAGGUGAAUUAUUAAAGACCUCUACAUCUGAAGGACCUACCAAUGACAUUGAGACCCUGACCCUCAGCGUUCAAGAAAACUGUGAUAAUAAUUCAAGUGUACAGAAAUGGUCACAGUCACAAUCGACAUGUAAUGAAGGGAAUACCUUGCACUAUGCGUCAAGCCUUCAAGAGAAGAAUGCUUUAAUAUUAGGGGACCAGGAUGACAUUAAGUGCAAAAAACUAUGUGAAGCAAGUUUUGCCCCUCGUUUGUGUAAGCCCCGGCCUUUUGAUAAAAGCUGUCCAACAUUUGAAUAUACACAAAAUGAAAUCCUUCCCCCUGAAACCGGUCCAAGCAAUCUGAUUGAUCCCGUGCAUGAGUACAAGCUUAUGGCAAACACCGAGAAUGUUUCAGAAGAGGGUGUCCUAAAAAAAUUCACAAGUGAAGUCUUCCGGUUUAGUGCAGGAUGCAUAAAUUCUCGAACAAAUGGGACUAUCCAUUUUGGAGUUGGGGACGAGCCACUGUACAAACAUGGACAAAUUAUUGGAUUAGAGAUGACAUCGCCAAAGAAAUAUAUAGAUGAAUUUGAUAAGUGUAUCAAGCUGUACUUUACAAAUCACACUAGAAUUGUACAGAGAUGCGUUAGGCCCCCUCAGUUCUUUAGGGUAAAAUGUCCAGACAACAUUAAUUUGGACAAAUGGGUCAUUGAGGUUGAUGUUGUUCCAAUGUAUGAACUAACUCUGGACAAAAGGUUUUACACUCCAUUUGACAAGAAGGGGAGGAAGUCAAAAACCCUUUUCAUUCGUGAUGGUGCAAACACCAUUGAUUAUAUGCACGACAAAAAUCCAAAAAGAACAAGGCAGAAUGAAAAAGAUUUAAAAAAUGAUGUGAAAUUAUGGGCUUUGUCUAGAAAAAUAGCCGAAGAGAAGUACAGACAGAUCUUAGGCACAACAAAAGGUCUAAAGUAAUAGCCCAGCAAGACAUAGGACAGGUUUUAACUCGAGGGGCAACCUUCCGAUCUCUCUGAUGAAGCCAAUACGGAAGUGACUUAAACUGCAAUUCAUCAACUGACUGCUUGAGACUGGCUCCAAAAGGGAGUCAAUAUAUACCUCCAUGUUAAAACGCCCAACUUUACAGUAGAAAAUAAGGUGUUUACAGCCUGGUACAAAAUUUGUUUUUGGUCUGUAUAGUUAAUUUGCCCUUCAUGACAACUGUGAGAGGGGUGAAUUUUUUUGUAACUCAUUCGUUUACAUUAUAUUAAGCCUUAAAAUUCUGCAUAAUUAAGGGCGUAGCCACUUGAGUGAGGGGUGAACAGCCACUGUUGUCCCUACUGUCGAGCUAGGCAGGCGUGGUUUCAGCAACCAGCCACCUCCCCUUCACCCACGUCCCGCCUCUUUACCCAUGUUUGGUUAUCCGCGAGUGAUCUACGGUAACACGCGGCCAAGAUGGCGACGGCAGGCAACGCCUACUUUAAGCUUCAAAAACAAUCUUUACAAACCAAUGGGUGACAUCACGGACACUACGUCCAUAUUUGUAUUCAAUCUAUGGUUUAACUAGACCUGAUAUUGGGCAAGGUCCGGCUGAGUAACACAAUUUUAGGCCAAAUUUGGUUACAUGUCGUUUUUGCCAAAAUAACUUGCAAGAUGUACGAUAUUUCAUUAUGUAAGCAAAAUCAACAGUGAUCUACAAAGUGUUUAGUUUCAUUUAUUUCAUUUUUGGUCUAUGGUUAGAUGUCUAUUAAUAUUUUACUGGCUGUGUUUGGAAUCCAAACUUUGGAUGGCUAUUAGCCGUCUUUUAAAUGCAAAUGUAUUUACUGGGAGCUUGUUCGACUUGUGAUUCCUUGAAAAUUGCUACUAAAAUGUAGCAAUGAUAUACUGUUUGAGUAUAAGGAGUCUGCCUGCACUGGUUAAGGUAUUGUUUUAAAGUCAUUGUUAAAUAUGUAAUGUAUUGAGUGAUUAAAUAAAUAAAUAGUUGUUAUUUUAUGGUAGGUGGAGUCACAUCCACCUGUUAUUGCCAUCGUUUUGAACCAAUGGCAGUUAGGUGCUGUAUAAAAGCCAGUAUAAAGUUUUCCUAAAUGUUUGCACUGAGCCACUGAAAGGGAAGUAAAAACACCCUUGUUUUGGCCAGAUCUGAUUGUAAGUGAAACUUCUUGUUCUUUGAUAUUUCUUUAGUUAUGUAAAUUAUGCAUCGUGGUUAGUUUUAAUUUCUGUUGAUAGUCGUCAUCUAUAAUUUGUAAGUAUUGUACUAUAUAAUGUAUAGGGAUCUACUGUACUGUAAUGUAUAAUGUAUACCGUAUUGUAUUUCUGUUUUCUUUAUAAAAGGAAUUUAGUUGUUUUGUUGGGUGUUUCUGUAAAUUCUGUAAAUAAAGUGUAAGCAAACACUGGCAACCAUGGGUUGCAACUAA